rnacentral:tRNA from 1 species
CUGGGGAUAGAGCUCAGUUGGUAGAGUGUUUGCCUCUCAUGCAGAAAACCAUGGGUUCGAUCUCCCACACCACAAA